GGAGCCACCCGCCCGGGUUUGGGAUAAGGCGGGGAAGGGGUUUUUAUCCGGAAUUGAGCUCCAUCGCUUGUCAACAAUGAGAAAAUUUUUUGGUUGGGGAGGGCUCCCCGCCUUAUAAGGUUGUGGUGAGGUAAGGGCUCCACGGGGGGUGGGGGGGUCGCGGCCUGGAGAGUUCCCGGCCCACGGGGGAAUGAGCCCCGCCCCAAUUUCUGCGGGGAGCAGCAGUGGGAAUUUUGCACAAUGGGCGAAAGCUUGAUGCAGCAACGCCGCUUGAGGAAGACGGCCUUCGGGUUGUAAACCUCUUUUAGCAGGGAAGAAGCGAAAGUGACGGUACCUGCAGAAAAAGCGCGGGCUAACUACGUGCCAGCAGCCGCGGUAAUACGUAGGGCGCAAGCGUUAUCCGGAAUUAUUGGGCGUAAAGAGCUCGUAGGCGGUUUGUCGCGUCUGCUGUGAAAUCCCGAGGCUCAACCUCGGGUCUGCAGUGGGUACGGGCAGACUAGAGUGCGGUAGGGGAGAUUGGAAUUCCUGGUGUAGCGGUGGAAUGCGCAGAUAUCAGGAGGAACACCGAUGGCGAAGGCAGAUCUCUGGGCCGUUACUGACGCUGAGGAGCGAAAGGGUGGGGAGCAAACAGGCUUAGAUACCCUGGUAGUCCACCCCGUAAACGUUGGGAACUAGUUGUGGGGUCCAUUCCACGGAUUCCGUGACGCAGCUAACGCAUUAAGUUCCCCGCCUGGGGAGUACGGCCGCAAGGCUAAAACUCAAAGGAAUUGACGGGGACCCGCACAAGCGGCGGAGCAUGCGGAUUAAUUCGAUGCAACGCGAAGAACCUUACCAAGGCUUGACAUAUACGAGAACGGGCCAGAAAUGGUCAACUCUUUGGACACUCGUAAACAGGUGGUGCAUGGUUGUCGUCAGCUCGUGUCGUGAGAUGUUGGGUUAAGUCCCGCAACGAGCGCAACCCUCGUUCUAUGUUGCCAGCACGUAAUGGUGGGAACUCAUG
rnacentral:rRNA from 1 species